AUUGAACGCUGGCGGCAGGCCUAACACAUGCAAGUCGAGCGGAGCGGCGAACGGGUGAGUAAUACGUGAGUAACCUGCCCUCCUUUUUGGGAUAAGCCUUGGAAACGGGGUCUAAUACCGGACAAAGGGGGAUGGGCUCGCGGCCUAUCAGCUUGUUGGUGGGGUGAUGGCCUACCAAGGCGGUGACGGGUAGCCGGCCUGAGAGGGGGACCGGCCACAGUGAGACUGAGAUACGGCCCAGAGUCCUAAGGGAGGGAGCAGGUGGGGAUAUUGAACAAGGGGCGAAAGACUGAUGCAGCGAGGCCGCGGGGGGGAUGAAGGCUUUCGGGUUGUAAACCUGUUUCGCAAGCGAACGGGUAGGUGGAGAAGAAGCGCCGGCUAACUACGUGCCAGCAGCCGCGGUAGUAC
rnacentral:rRNA from 1 species